CAGAGUUGAUCCUGGCUCAGGAUAAACGCUGGCGGCGCACAUAAGACAUGCAAGUCGAACGGACUUAACCAUUAGUUUACUAUUGGAGCGGUUAGUGGCGGACUGGUGAGUAACACGUAAGCAACCUGCCUAUCAGAGGGGAACAACAGUUAGAAAUGACUGCUAAUACCGCAUAUACCCAAGUGUCACAUGGCACAAUGGGGAAAGGAGCAAUCCGCUGAUAGAUGGGCUUGCGU
rnacentral:rRNA from 1 species